AACAAACGCUGGCGGCGUGCCUAAUACAUGCAAGUCGAACGGGGAAAGCUUUCGGGCGAGUACUAGUGGCGCACGGGUGAGUAACACGUGGAUAAUCUGCCUUGGAGUGGGGGAUAACUAGUCGAAAGAUUAGCUAAUACCGCAUAAGACCACAGGAGCUGCGGCUCUAGGGGUCAAAGGUUUUUCGUUCCAAGAUGAGUCCGCGUAAGAUUAGCUAGUUGGUGAGGUAAUGGCUCACCAAGGCGACGAUCUUUAACUGGUCUGAGAGGAUGAUCAGUCACACUGGAACUGAGACACGGUCCAGACUCCUACGGGAGGCAGCAGUAGGGAAUAUUGCACAAUGGAGGAAACUCUGAUGCAGCGACGCCGCGUGAGUGAUGAAGGCCUUCGGGUCGUAAAGCUCUGUCGCAGGGGAAUAACACAAUGAAGGUACCCUGCAAGAAAGGAUCGGCUAACUUCGUGCCAGCCGCCGCUGUAACAC
rnacentral:rRNA from 1 species